rnacentral:lncRNA from 1 species
UGCAUUGAUUCUUUAAACCUGAUGAUUUUUUUUAAUGAAAAAAUGCUAUGCAAAUCAAGUGUGCAAAAAAAUGUCCACGGAGGAAAGGGUUAUAAAACACAAAAAUGCUUAUUUUAUGCCCCCUUUUUGGCCCCUUAUUCAUAAAAUAAUGGGAUCAUAACCCCCUAAAUCAAUCCCAACCUUCCAUUAGUGAUAUUUAACUUUCUGGUAAAAAUUUAUAGAGAUCCAUUCACUAAAACUAAAGUUAUUGUCUGGAAACUAAAUGUGUCUUCGGCAUGAUAGUAUAGUGUACAAGAUUGUAUAAAAAUGAACUAAUUGAUACAUAUAUAAUGCCAAGGCUGUUAGUUAGCACCAGAAGCAAGGAAACAGCGCACAUAUUUUGUGUCACGGAAUAGCAGUUCCUUCCUAAUGUAAGUUCCAAAUGGAAAAAAUAAAACUGAGGCUGACAGCCGAAGUGAAUAUCAGUUUUUCAUAAGUCAAUUAAACCCCAUAUUUACCGAAACAAAAGACAGUUAUUGUUUUAUUCCAUAUUCCAAGAAAAGAAAAUGAUUUAACAACAAACAAUAUUGUACCAGCACAAAGUUUACAUAAAACGUUUUCCGUAGCGUUGCAUGACUAAAAGCACAUGACGGUUAGCGUGGUGAAUAACACUUUCUCAGGUGAAUAUGCUUUUUUAUUCAAAAUCCAAUUCGUAUGGAGAAACCUACUAAAAUAAUACCAAUAUAGAAUAAUAUAGAAUAUUUGUUCUAUCAGGUACAAGUAUU